rnacentral:rRNA from 1 species
GACGAACGCUGGCGGCGUGCUUAACACAUGCAAGUCGAGCGGUAAGGCCCUUUCGGGGGUACACGAGCGGCGAACGGGUGAGUAACACGUGGGUGACCUGCCCUCAGCUCUGGGAUAAGCCUGGGAAACCGGGUCUAAUACUGGAUAUGACUCCAUGACGCAUGUUGUGGGGUGGAAAGCCUUGUGCGGCUGAGGAUGGGCCCGCGGCCUAUCAGCUUGUUGGGGGGUGAUGGCCUACCAAGGCGACGACGGGUAGCCGGCCUGAGAGGGCGACCGGCCACACUGGGACUGAGACACGGCCCAGACUCCUACGGGAGGCAGCAGUGGGGAAUCUUGCGCAAUGGGCGAAAGCCUGACGCAGCGACGCCGCGUGAGGGAUGACGGCCU